UUCCUGGUGUUCAUGGCGCAGUGGAACCACGCCGAUCCAUUCCGAACUUGGUUGUGAAACGCUGCAGCGGUGACGAUAGUUAGGGGGUAGCCCCUUGCGAAAAUAACUCAACGCCAGGA
rnacentral:rRNA from 1 species